GCAUAUGAGGUGAAAAUCUCAUGUACGGUUCUGUAAAGGGGAUUGGCUUUGGGCCUUUCCUGCGCAACUUAGGUGGAAGGCGAAGAAGGCCCCCUUCUGGGAGGGGGCGAGCCAUCAGUGAGAUACCACUCUGGAAGAGCUCGGAUUCUAACCUUGUGUUAGAUCUGCGGACCAAGGGACAGUCUUAGGUAGAUAGUUUCUAUGGGGCAUAGGCCCCCCAAAAGGUAUCGGAGGCGUGCAAAGGUUUCCUCAGGCCAGACGGACAUUGGUCCUUGAGUGUAAAGGAAAAAGGGAGCUUGACUGCAAGACUCACCUAUCGAGCAGAGACGAAAGUCAGCCUUAGUGAUCCGACGGUGCUGAGUGGAAGGGUCGUCGCUCAACGGAUAAAAGUUACUCUAGGGAUAACAGACCGAUCUUCCCCAAGAGUCCACAUCGAUGGGAAGGUUUGGCACCUCGAUGUCGGCUCUUCGCCACCUGGAGCUGUAGGUGGUUCCAAGGGUUGCGUUGUUCGCCCAUUAAUGCAGUAUGUGAGCUGGGUUCAGAAUGUCGUGAGACAAUUCGGUCCAUAUCCAUUGUGGGCUUUAGAGCAUUGAGAGGACCUUUCCCUAGUACGAGAGGACCGGGAAGGAUGCACCCAAUUAUCGUGCCUACGGUAAACACUGGGUAACCAAAGUGCGGAGAGGAUAACUGCUGAAAGCGUAUAAGUAGUAAGCCCACCCCAAGAUGAGUGAUCUCUCCUC
rnacentral:rRNA from 1 species